rnacentral:rRNA from 1 species
AUUGAACGCUGGCGGCAGGCCUAACACAUGCAAGUCGAGCGGAUGAAGAGAGCUUGCUCUCUGAUUUAGCGGCGGACGGGUGAGUAAUGCCUAGGAAUCUGCCUGGUAGUGGGGGAUAACGUUCCGAAAGGAACGCUAAUACCGCAUACGUCCUACGGGAGAAAGCAGGGGACCUUCGGGCCUUGCGCUAUCAGAUGAGCCUAGGUCGGAUUAGCUAGUUGGUGAGGUAAUGGCUCACCAAGGCGACGAUCCGUAACUGGUCUGAGAGGAUGAUCAGUCACACUGGAACUGAGACACGGUCCAGACUCCUACGGGAGGCAGCAGUGGGGAAUAUUGGACAAUGGGCGAAAGCCUGAUCCAGCCAUGCCGCGUGUGUGAAGAAGGUCUUCGGAUUGUAAAGCACUUUAAGUUGGGAGGAAGGGCAUUAACCUAAUACGUUAGUGUUUUGACGUUACCAACAGAAUAAGCACCGGCUAACUUCGUGCCAGCCGCCGCGGUAAUAC